CCAGUCAAGGAAGAUGAACUGGUGACGUACAUCCUGACAGGGCUCGACAGUGAAUAUGAUCCGCUUGUUACAUCGAUUAUGAUGCAGGCGGACUCGCUUGGGCCUGAUGAUCUUUAUGCUCACAUGCUGAGCUAUGAGG